UGCGCAGGUGGGUUGGCAAGUUCGAUGUGAAAGCCCCGGGCUUAACCCGGGAAUGGCAUUGGAUACUGCUGAUCUGGAGGGUCGGGAGGGGGGACUGGAAUUCUUGGUGUAGCAGUGAAAUGCGUAGAUAUCAAGAGGAACACCAGUGGCGAAGGCGAGUCCCUGGACGAUACCUGACACUGAGGCACGAAAGCCAGGAGCAAACA
rnacentral:rRNA from 1 species